rnacentral:rRNA from 1 species
UACGGAGGGUGCAAGCGUUAAUCGGAAUUACUGGGCGUAAAGCGCACGCAGGUGGCUGAGUCAGUCGAUUGUGAAAGCCCUGGGCUUAACCUGGGAAUUGCAGUCGAUACUACUCAGCUAGAGUAUGGGAGAGGGUAGUGGAAUUCCCGGUGUAGCGGUGAAAUGCGUAGAGAUCGUGAGGAAGACCCGUGGCGAAGGCGGAUCUCUGGACGGCUAAAACUGACGCUGAGGCGCGAAGGCCAGGGGAGCAAACGGG